rnacentral:rRNA from 1 species
CACGUAGGAUCCAAGCGUUAUCCGGAUUUACUGGGCGUAAAGCGCGUGCAGGUGGUUUGGAAAGUUGGGUGUUAAAGCUCUCGGCUCAACCGGGAGUUGUCGCUCAAAACUAGCAGACUAGAGGAUGGUAGAGGGAGGUGGAAUUCCGGGUGUAGUGGUGAAAUGCGUAGAUAUCCGGAGGAACACCAGUGGCGAAGGCGGCCUCCUGGCCCAUUCCUGACACUCAGACGCGAAAGCUAGGGUAGCAAAC